GUUUGAUUGGAUUAAUCUAGGGUGCCCUGUAGAAAAUUAGAUACCCUAGCAGGGAAAGGUGGUUGGUGUGCAGUCCAUUUGUCUUGAUAGGAGUCUGUGCUUUGUAAUUUAACAGGCAGAAACAGAAGAUUUCUUUCUGAGGAAGACCCACAGGAGAUAAAGCUCUAACUUAUUUUUGCCUAGUUGUCAGUUGGGAAUGGAGAAUCUUCAAGCCCCUUGAAAUCUCAUUCAGUUACCUUCAAUUCCUUGCCACAAAAGUGGAGAGGCCUCCCAAGAUUUCUGAAGGUUGUUCCAUAGGAGAGCAGCUCUGAUGUGAAACUCAGUCCCUUUUUUGUUUUGCACAGGAAAAAAAGGAAUUCACACCAAGUCUUUGUGUUGAGUACAUUAUCUAAGCACCUUUUGGUAUAAAGACGAUUGGAGGAGAGUUUACUAUUUACCAGGACUCUCUGCUCUCCAUUCUCUUCCUCCCAAUCCAACUGCUCCCCUACUCCCUCUAUUCCCUGACCUCCAAAUUCUUGUUUCUUUAUCCGGCAGAGCUGUUUCCUGGCUAAAGUACAGGGGCCCAUGGCAGGAGUAUGGAAGCAUGCUGGAGAGCCUUAACCCAAUCUGACCUCUGUCCCUACUGCUUGUGUAAAUGACACAACCUCCCAGAAUCUCGGUAUCAUCACCCAUGAGAUGGCAUGAAGAGCAGUAUCCACCCCUCAGGGUUUAAAGACACAAGGUCCGUUGCAUGGGACAUGCAAUUGUCAGCCUUUGCAGCAUUCAGUUCCAGAUGCCUGGAGCAAUGUCUAGAAGAGCUGUGAACUCGCAGUCACCCCAGAGUCCAGAAAAAGAGCCUUGAAGACUCACCCAGUACAAAGUCAUUCAGGAACCCCAAGCAGGAGUAGUUACCCCGUGAUAGGAACCAAAGCUGCCUUCUUCAUCAGGAGCCUUCAUUCCAUGAGAGAACUGACUUGCUCCCUCACGAUGUGAUGACCGUCUAGGAACCACAUGGGUCAGACCAGAAUUUGGCCAAGAUCACCUUCCUGUCAAAUAUGAAAAUUCCUUGCUUUGCAAACCCCAACCUUUGUGUUGUUCUCCUUUUCUUUUGUUUUUCUUUAAAAAGCUGCUUUAUUGGCUCCAGUGGCAAAUUUAUAAAAAGUUAACACAUCUUGAUCUAUUCAGAUUUACAUUGAUAUGAUAAUUAUAUGUGUACAGUUCUUAUUGCCGUCAUGUUCACCAAAGACAAAUACUCAAGGGAGUCUCUAAGUUUCAAAAUUCAAACCACAAUGCCUUGACUGAAUAACAUGAUUACAAAAAGGAAUCGCAAAACCGCAAAUGUGCAGUGCUUCACAACAGCUCCCUUCUAGCUCACCUUUUUGCCAAAUCUUGUUUCAUUAACAAUCUAUAUUCUUAAAAGUGCAUUUAUAAUUUUAUAGGUAAGUGAUCUGAUUUAAA
rnacentral:lncRNA from 1 species